GUGGGGAAUCUUCCGCAAUGGGCGAAAGCCUGACGGAGCAACGCCGCGUGAGUGAAGAAGGCCUUCGGGUCGUAAAGCUCUGUCUUCAGGGAAGAACAACUAUGGUGUAAAUAAUGCCAUAGUCUGACGGUACCUGAGGAGGAAGCUCCGGCUAACUACGUGCCAGCAGCCGCGGUAAUACGUAGGGAGCGAGCGUUGUCCGGAAUUACUGGGCGUAAAGGGUGCGUAGGCGGGUAUUUAAGUCAGAUGUGAAAACUAUGGGCUCAACCUGUAGACUGCAUUUGAAACUGGAUAUGUUGAGGGCAGGAGAGGAAAGUGGAAUGCCUAGUGUAGCGGUGAAAUGCGUAGAUAUUAGGAGGAACACCAGUGGCGAAGGCGACUUUCUGGACUGUACCUGACGCUGAGGCGCGAAAGCGUGGGGAGCGAACAGGAUUAGAAACCCCGGUAGUCC
rnacentral:rRNA from 1 species